rnacentral:rRNA from 1 species
AGACCCGAAACCCGGUGAUCUAGCCAUGGGCAGGUUGAAGGUUGGGUAACACUAACUGGAGGACCGAACCGACUAAUGUUGAAAAAUUAGCGGAUGACCUGUGGCUGGGGGUGAAAGGCCAAUCAAACCGGGAGAUAGCUGGUUCUCCCCGAAAGCUAUUUAGGUAGCGCCUCGUGAACUCAUCUCCGGGGGUAGAGCACUGUUUCGGCUAGGGGGCCAUCCCGGCUUACCAACCCGAUGCAAACUGCGAAUACCGGAGAAUGUUAUCACGGGAGACACACGGCGGGUGCUAACGUCCGUCGUGAAGAGGGAAACAACCCAGACCGCCAGCUAAGGUCCCAAAGUCAUGGUUAAGUGGGAAACGAUGUGGGAAGGCCCAGACAGCCAGGAUGUUGGCUUAGAAGCAGCCAUCAUUUAAAGAAAGCGUAAUAGCUCACUGGUCGAGUCGGCCUGCGCGGAAGAUGUAACGGGGCUAAACCAUGCACCGAAGCUGCGGCAGCGACACUUUAGUGUUGUUGGGUAGGGGAGCGUUCUGUAAGCCGUUGAAGGUGGCCUGUGAGGGUUGCUGGAGGUAUCAGAAGUGCGAAUGCUGACAUAAGUAACGAUAAAGCGGGUGAAAAGCCCGCUCGCCGGAAGACCAAGGGUUCCUGUCCAACGUUAAUCGGGGCAGGGUGAGUCGACCCCUAAGGCGAGGCCGAAAGGCGUAGUCGAUGGGAAACGGGUUAAUAUUCCCGUACUUGGUGUUACUGCGAAGGGGGGACGGAGAAGGCUAUGUUGGCCGGGCGACGGUAGUCCCGGUUUAAGCGUGUAGGUGUAUGUUCCAGGCAAAUCCGGUUCAUUUUAACACUGAGGCGUGAUGACGAGGCACCACGGUGCUGAAGCAACAAAUGCCCUGCUUCCAGGAAAAGCCUCUAAGCAUCAGGUAACAUCAAAUCGUACCCCAAACCGACACAGGUGGUCAGGUAGAGAAUACCAAGGCGCUUGAGAGAACUCGGGUGAAGGAACUAGGCAAAAUGGUGCCGUAACUUCGGGAGAAGGCACGCUGACACGUAGGUGAAGUGAUUUACUCAUGGAGCUGAAGUCAGUCGAAGAUACCAGCUGGCUGCAACUGUUUAUUAAAAACACAGCACUGUGCAAACACGAAAGUGGACGUAUACGGUGUGACGCCUGCCCGGUGCCGGAAGGUUAAUUGAUGGGGUCAGCGCAAGCGAAGCUCCUGAUCGAAGCCCCGGUAAACGGCGGCCGUAACUAUAACGGUCCUAAGGUAGCGAAAUUCCUUGUCGGGUAAGUUCCGACCUGCACGAAUGGCGUAAUGAUGGCCAGGCUGUCUCCACCCGAGACUCAGUGAAAUUGAACUCGCUGUGAAGAUGCAGUGUACCCGCGGCAAGACGGAAAGACCCCGUGAACCUUUACUAUAGCUUGACACUGAACAUUGAGCCUUGAUGUGUAGGAUAGGUGGGAGGCUUUGAAGCGUGGACGCCAGUCUGCGUGGAGCCGACCUUGAAAUACCACCCUUUAAUGUUUGAUGUUCUAACGUGGACCCGUGAUCCGGGUUGCGGACAGUGUCUGGUGGGUAGUUUGACUGGGGCGGUCUCCUCCUAAAGAGUAACGGAGGAGCACGAAGGUUGGCUAAUCCUGGUCGGACAUCAGGAGGUUAGUGCAAUGGCAUAAGCCAGCUUGACUGCGAGCGUGACGGCGCGAGCAGGUGCGAAAGCAGGUCAUAGUGAUCCGGUGGUUCUGAAUGGAAGGGCCAUCGCUCAACGGAUAAAAGGUACUCCGGGGAUAACAGGCUGAUACCGCCCAAGAGUUCAUAUCGACGGCGGUGUUUGGCACCUCGAUGUCGGCUCAUCACAUCCUGGGGCUGAAGUAGGUCCCAAGGGUAUGGCUGUUCGCCAUUUAAAGUGGUACGCGAGCUGGGUUUAGAACGUCGUGAGACAGUUCGGUCCCUAUCUGCCGUGGGCGCUGGAAGAUUGAGGGGGGCUGCUCCUAGUACGAGAGGACCGGAGUGGACGCAUCACUGGUGUUCGGGUUGUCAUGCCAAUGGCACUGCCCGGUAGCUAAAUGCGGAAAAGAUAAGUGCUGAAAGCAUCUAAGCACGAAACUUGCCCCGAGAUGAGUCUUCCCUGAGACUUUGAGUCUCCUGAAGGAACGUUAAAGACGAUGACGUUGAUAGGCCGGGUGUGUAAGCGCAGCGAUGCGUUGAGCUAACCGGUACUAAUGAACCGUGAGGCUUAACCUUACAACGCCGAAG